UAAAGUAUGUUAAAAAAGGGUAAACUUCAAAUACCAUUCCUAUAGUUUCGCACUUUCUCACUUAAGUAUUCUGUGGUUUAAAGUGUACUAAUUUAGUACCUCGUGGUUUCUUUUUUUUUUUUUCAUCAGCUCCUCCAUUAAUAUUUCAUUAAAUUAUAUACAAAAAACUUCAAAUAUCCUACUUAGGUUUGUCGAAUAUUUUCUUUAGUAUCUUUUAGUUUCAACUAAUUACUGAUUUAAUGAAAAAAAUUAGUAGAGAAAAUAAUAAAAAGAGAAAAAAUAAAAACACUAGUUACUAAAUUGAUACAUUUUAAAUCACAUGGUAAGUGAGGGGCACAUGUCAGAAUACUAAACGUUCAGGGGGUUGUUCGUACAUUUUUACGCCUUCAUUUUAAAAACCCAACGGCCAGUGAAUUGUAGCCGUUGGAUGGGAUUGUAUCGGAACGUGUAAUAGUAGGGUUUGACGCUUUUGAGGGCAUUUAAUUUAACGGCUAUAUUUGGAGCAUGUGCUUUCAAAUUUUCUGUGAGGGGUGUUGCUUAGGUUUAAAGCCUACUACAAAUUAAUUUAAGUUGGUCACCUUUUUUUAAUGCCUUACUCAGAUUACUCACCACCUUUUCUUUUUUCUUUUUUCUUUUAUUUUAUUGCCUACGCUAUCUUUGUUCUUACUCUAUGGUUUAUUAAAUAUAAUAAUAGGCUAAAUUACAAAAAAAAAAAUUUAUAAAUAUUUGCUUUUUCACUUUCUCUUUCUAAUUUUUUAAAAAUCUAUAUUUUAUCCUUUCAGCAUUUCAAAUUGUUGCAUUUAGCCCUCCUCCGUCAGAGUUCCAUCAAUAUUCCGUCUAUUUUUUAUAAUUUAUACCGAAAAUAUUUUUUUAACGGACAAAAAUAUAUUAAAAAAUUAUUUUUUUAUAGAAGGGUAAUUUGGCCAUUUUGCUUUUUUCAUUAACACUUUACCUCCUAAAAACAUUUCUAAAAUUUUAAGGGGGUAACAUGUAUGUUUUUGAAAGUCAAGAAAAAAAAGUGAAAAACUGAGUAUUUACAGAGAAGUUUUCUGUAACUUAACCAAUAUAAUAAAUUAGAAAUAUUGUUUUCUCUCAUAGUUAAAGUUUUUGAAGAACAACGACGGUUUUAAAUAACUUUGACAUAUUAUUAGAGCAAAAUGAAUUGCGUCCAACUAUUUUGUUGAUAUAAUUAACUUCGUAUCAUUUUAUUCAAAUCCACGUCUCGGACUUAUCAAAAUAUUUUGAGCGCGGGUGUGAGGAACAUUGUUGAAUUCAUACAUUAGAAACACCAUUCUAUCUUAUAGUUAAAGUUUUUGAAGAACAACAAUCUUUUCAAAUUACUUUAAUAACAUGUUAGUAGAACAGGAGGCAUUUAGUUUGAAUCCCACUAGUUUUCUGAUACAAAUAAUUUUCUGCUAUUUAAUUCAAAUCCACAUCUUGAACUUAUCAAAAUAUUUCGAGUUCGAACAUAGGGAAGAGUGUUGAAUAUAUAAAUUAAAAAUAUCAUUCUCUGGCCACGCAACCCUUUGGAACAAUGAUUGUUUCAAAUUACUUUAUCAUCUUUAUUCCUCUUAUUUUUUUAUGACGUAGGCCUUGUUUGAAUGUAAGAAUAUCCUAUUUAGUUUAUUUUUUCAAUUUAUUUAAAAAA
rnacentral:lncRNA from 1 species